rnacentral:lncRNA from 1 species
CAGGAAUGUAUAGGCUCCUGGACUUUAAUUUGUAUCUUUAACCUCCUAUAAAUAUCCGGCUAUACUGUAGCAGGUAUGUGUUUUUUAGUGUCUCAUCAUGAAAUUAGCUUCAAGAUGACGGCUGUUCUUUGCUCCCUUUUAACUACUGAUGACUUCAGUUCCCCGUCUCCAUUACUAAAUGCAUGAAGUGUCCUGGCUGCUGUACGGUGUGCCCCACAAUUUAAUUAUUACCUCAUUGAUUUUUCAUGUAUUUCAAUGUUCUCUUUUGUUAAGUCACAGGGCCCGUUCUGUUGGAGCAAUGUUUGCUUUUCUUUCCAAGACUUCCUUAUGGAAUCAUUUGGAGUCAAAGACGUUCUUGUUUGCCUCUUCUUUAUCCCCAUCCUGCCUCCACCCCUCCUCUGGAAUGUCGGGCUGCAGCAGCCUGGAGGUUGGCCUGCACAUGCAGACAAUCCAGAAAGGAAACUCCCGGUUUGUACAAGAUCUUAAAAAGGAAACAGUAUUCCACCACUCACUCACCAACAAAAGGGAGAACAUCCAUUUUUCAGAAGACCUGUGGUAUUUCAGAAUCAAAGAAGAGACACAAACCCUCUGUUGCAGUUGCAAUGGUGUCAGGAAAUCCCAGACGGAUGAAGCGGAAGGUCUUGUCUCCUGCUCCGACAGUGGCUGCUACUGCUGCUGCUGCUUCUUUUCUUCUUUGCUUUACAGAAGAAACAAAAGCACAGCAAGAUUAAGUUGCAUGCUCACAACAAUGCAGUAAAUCAAUGGUGAAAUAUUGUCCGAGACCAGUGAUUCAGAAGUCAAUCCUCUACGUGGAGCUCCUCUCCUGUUCUGCUCUUUCCCUGUCAUAUUGGUAUUACGUUGAUGUAGGCUUUAAUUAGAAAAAAUAUGUUUUACUAUUGCUGAUCAGUAAGUACCAAAUCUUCAUUGCUCAUAGUAACAGUAAUCACAAAAAUAGGAGAAGAGAAUGGGGAAGUAUUUCAGCUUCGUAUGUGCCAAAAUUUUUUUCCCUGUGAGAAAAUGACCUGCAUGGAACUAACAUCAUUAAGUGACAGGUUUCACAUUUUAGCCAGAAAGGAAGUUAUUUUUCAGACUUUUUUUAAGUAAUGGGAAGUGCUUUAUUAGGAUGCAAAAAUUACCAUUACCGUACUUCCUAAGUGGCUGAAAUGAUCAUUUUGAUGAGUCUGUAAACAGACUGUCAGAGAGAGAUGCUUUGGAUUUUGAAGGCACAUGUUGGCACUAAAAUUAAAGACCUUUUGUCCCCAUAAUGAAUUUGAAAAAAACAAAAAUAGUGACUCAAAAAAUGACAGAAUCAUAGACACUAGAGAUGGCACAGACCUAAUAAGUCAUCUCAUUUACCCCCUCACACACGGUUCUCUAGAGGACAUUUGUCCCUCAUUCUAGAAUUGUGUCUUUCACUUCUGAGGAGACACUUCCACUGUAUCACUUGGAGGAGAGCAAUCUUAAAUCUUGACUUGCCAACCUGCCCUGGUCCUAGCCCUGUACUCAAUACACUGGCUAAGUGAAGACCUUUUCUUUACCCCCUUCCAUGACCCAUUAUGUCCUUGAAAUUUCCUGCUUACAAAAUUCCCUCCUAACUUCAAAGCAUAUGACAGUCCUAUGGAGCUGGGUCAUGAUUUGGCCACUCUAUUAAGUUGUUUUAAUCCAUCCUCAUAAAUCAAUCCCUUUAGCUCCUUCAUCAUGGUGAUGGCUGUUUUGUGACAUCCUACCAUUUUUUGACAUGAUUCUCCUACUGAAAUCUCUCAGCCUCAAGCAGAAUUCUAGGUGAUGACUGUGUUUGACCAGUACAAAGUAAUAAUAAUAAUAAUAACUAUGAUGACAAUAAUAAUAAUAAAUUUCCCAUAAAUUUGCA